rnacentral:rRNA from 1 species
CUCCGGUGAUCCUGCCGGACCUGACUGCUAUCGGAUUGGUACUAAGCCAUGCGAGUCGUUGUAGCAAUACAAGGCGGACGGCUCAGUAACACGUAGUCAACCUAACCUAUGGACGUGGAUAACCUCGGGAAACUGAGAAUAAACCGCGAUAGAUCAUUAUGCCUGGAAUGGCUUAUGGUUCAAACAAUUUAUUGCCGUAGGAUGGGACUGCGGCCUAUCAGCUUGUUGGUGAGGUAAUGGCCCACCAAGGCUAUAACAGGUACGGGCUCUGAGAGGAGAAGCCCGGAGAUGGGUACUGAGACACGGACCCAGGCCCUAUGGGGCGCAGCAGGCGAGAAACCUUAGCAAUGUGCGAAAGCACGACUAGGUUAAUCCGAGUGAUUUCUGUUGAAGAAAUCUUUUGUCAGUCGUAAAACCACAGACGAAUAAGGGGUGGGCAAGUCUGGUGUCAGCCGCCGCGGUAAUACCAGCACCUCGAGUGGUCAGGAGGUUUAUUGGGCCUAAAGCAUCCGUAGCCGGCUACGCAAGUCUCCGGUUAAAUCCAACUGCUCAACAGAUGGGCUGCCGGAGAUACUACAUAGCUAGGGAGCGGGAGAGGUAGACGGUAUUCUGUGGGUAGGGGUAAAAUCCACUGAUCCAUAGAGGACCACCAGUGGCGAAGGCGGUCUACCAGAACGCGUUCGACGGUGAGGGAUGAAAGCUGGGGGAGCAAACCGGAUUAGAUACCCGGGUAGUCCCAGCUGUAAACGAUGCAAACUCGGUGAUGCAUUGGCUUAUGGCCAAUGCAGUGCCGCAGGGAAGCCGUUAAGUUUGCCGCCUGGGAAGUACGGACGCAAGUCUGAAACUUAAAGGAAUUGGCGGGGGAGCA